CGAGACGGUCGGGCGAUCGCGGCGCGCGGAACCACCCUGCACACGGGGCAGGCCGGGCGCGGAGGAAAGUCCGGACUCCACAGGGCAACGGUGGUUGCUAACAGCAACCCGGGGCGACCCGCGGGAACAGUGCCACAGAAAACAAACCGCCCGCCACAGGCGGGUAAGGGUGAAAAGGUGCGGUAAGAGCGCACCAGCGCCCCAGGUGACUGGGGUGGCUAGGUAAACCCCACCGGGAGCAAGGUCAAGGUGCCCGCACGCGCGCUAUCCCAGAUAGUGCAGACGUGCGGCGUAGCUCUAGGGCUGCCCGCCCAACAAUGAGCAGGUAGGCCGCUUGAAGCCAUCAGCAAUGGUGCGCUCAGAUGGAUGAUCGCCUCGUCCCACGCUGGCCUCGCGUGCCAUAGGUGCUGCGGGGUGGGCGGGGGAUAGGACAGAAUCCGGCUCACAGGUCGUCUCGACGC
rnacentral:RNase_P_RNA from 1 species